AUUGAACGCUGGCGGCAGGCUUAACACAUGCAAGUCGAGCGAGCGGCGGACGGGUGAGUAAUGUCUGGGAAACUGCCUGAUGGAGGGGGAUAACUACUGGAAACGGUAGCUAAUACAGCAUACCAUCAGAUGUGCCCAGAUGGGAUUAGCUAGUAGGUGGGGUAAUGGCUCACCUAGGCGACGAUCCCUAGCUGGUCUGAGAGGAUGACCAGCCACAUGGGAAUUGAGACACGCCCCAGAUCCCUAGGGAGGGAAGCGGGGGGGAAUAUUCGAAAAGGGGCGAAAGCAUGAUGCAGACAUGCGGGUGGGGUGAAGCAGGCUUCGGGGUGUUAAAGCCCGUUAAGCGAGGAGGCGUUACUCGCAUAGGAAGCACCGGCUAACUCCGUGCCAGCCGCCGCGGUAAUUC
rnacentral:rRNA from 1 species